CUAUCUUUUAUCUAUUGUAUCCAUCUUUUCCUGUAUUUCUCUUAACAUAGCAAUCAUAAUUAUUUUGAAGUCCUUGUCUUAUAAUUCUUACAUCUGGAUCAUUUAUGGGACUGCUUAUUUUUCCUCUUGAUUAUUAGUCAUAUUUUUUGCCAUUUAUGUCUAAUAAUUUAUUUUUAUUACAUGCUGGACAGUGUGUAUAAAAAAACAAUAGAGGCUCCAGAUGAUUUUCUCUUCCAUCAGGUAGUUUUCCCCCUUUCUUUUGUGAAGUAUAUUAAGGAACUGAUCACCUCAAGCCAAUCAGAGAUCAAGCUGCAUUUGAACUAGGUUGUAGUUUUAGUAAAACUUGGUGUAGCUUUCAUUUGUCCCAGUUUCUCAGGUAUGUCCCUCCCUGACUUUUAAAUGGAAAGCUGUUAAAUUUCUUUCUCUUCAGCCCUGAAAGACUGUGAGAGAUGCAGUUCUGCCACUUCGUAGGCUGUUUUCUUUGUGCCCCAGUGGAGAUCUUCUACAUGGGUCCAGCCCAAUUUUCGGCUGUCACCUAAAAUCAUCAAUGUCUCCCAGGAAGAAAAUGACUGGCAAUUGACAAAUCAUCUUAGAAAGGCUUUUUUUCUCUCUGACUUUUGGUUUAUCCAGCCUGGGUGACAGAGCAAGACUCCGGCUGGGCACGGUGGCUCAUGUCUGUAAGUAAUCCCAGCACUUUGGGAGGCCGAGGUGUGCAGAUCACCUGAGGUCAGGAGUUCGAGACCAGGCUGGCCAACGUAGUGAAACCCCGUCUCUACUAAAAAUACAAGAAUUAGCCAGGUGUGGUGGCAGGCACCUGUAAUCACAGCUAUUCGGGAGGCUCAGGCAGGAGAAUCGCUUGAACCUGGGAGGCAGAAGUUGCAGUGAGCCGAGAUCACAUCACUGCACUCCAGCCUGGGUGACAGAGCAAGACUCCAUCUC
rnacentral:lncRNA from 1 species